GUAUAGCGAUUUGGAUUAGGUGUCGCAAGACUUCAUAGAGAAUCCGGAUAAGCCGGAGCGGUCCCGCCACUGUAUCAGCGAGCGACUUUGCAAUAUGUCACUGGGCUUUGCCUGGGAAGGCGCAAAGGAGCGAUGAGCUGGAGCCAGGAGAACUGCCUGAUCGACAAUCACCGU
rnacentral:ncRNA from 2 species